rnacentral:rRNA from 1 species
AGCACGCCGCGUGAGUGAAGAGGUUUUCGGAUCGUAAAGCUCUGUUGUUGGAGAAGAACGUGUGAGACAGUGCUGGUUUUUAUUUUGCCGGUAUCUUACCAAAAGUGGACGGUUACUUCCUUCCCACCACCCCCGUAAUACCUUAGUGGCCGACCUUUGUCCGAAUUUUUGGGCCUUAAGCCAACCCCAGGCGGUUUAUAAAUUUGAAGUUUAAGCGCACGGCUUAACCCUGGAACUGCUUUGGAAACUGUUAUUCUUGAGUGCAGAAGAGGAGAGUGGAACUCCAUGUGUAGCGGUGGAAUGCGUAGAUAUAUGGAAGAA